rnacentral:rRNA from 1 species
GACGAACGCUGGCGGCGUGCUUAACACAUGCAAGUCGAACGAUGAAGAAGAGAAACGCGAACUUCGGUUCAAAUUUCACUUCGGAUUAGUGGCAGACGGGUGAGUAACGCGUGAGCAACCUACCUCUUACAAAGGGAUAGCCUCGGGAAACCGUGAUUAAUACCAUAUGACACAUUCAUAAGGCAUCUUAAGAAUGUUAAAGCUACGGCGGUAAGAGAUGGGCUCGCGUCCCAUUAGCUAGUUGGUGAGGUAACGGCCCACCAAGGCGACGACGGGUAACCGGCCUGAGAGGGUGAACGGUCACAUUGGAACUGAGACACGGUCCAAACUCCUACGGGAGGCAGCAGUGGGGAAUAUUGCACAAUGGAGGGAACUCUGAUGCAGCGACGCCGCGUGAGCGAUGAAGGAAUUCGUUUCGUAAAGCUCUGUUCUAUGGGAAGAAAAGGACUGUACCAUAGGAGAAAGCCCCGGCUAAAUACGUG